GGGGCAUUAGCUCAGUUGGCUAGAGCGUCUGCAUGGCAUGCAGAAGGUCAUCGGUUCGACUCCGAUAUGCUCCACCA
rnacentral:tRNA from 1 species